rnacentral:rRNA from 1 species
CCUACGGGGGGCAGCAGUGAGGAAUAUUGGUCAAUGGGGGAAAGCCUGAAGCAGCAAAGCCGCGUGGAGGAUGAAGGUUUUAGGAUUGGAAACUCCUUUUGUUAGAGAAGAAAAUGACGGUAUCUAACGAAUAAGCACCGGCUAACUCCGUGCCAGCAGGCGCGGUAAUACGGAGGGUGCAAGCGUUACUCGGAAUCACUGGGCGUAAAGAGCGCGUAGGCGGGAUAGCAAGUCAGAUGUGAAAUCCUAUGGCUUAACCAUAGAACUGCAUUUGAAACUGUUAUUCUAGAGUAUGGGAGAGGUAGGUGGAAUUCUUGGUGUAGGGGUUAAAUCCGUAGAGAUCACGAGGAAUACUCAUUGCGAAGGCGACCUGCUAGAACAUAACUGACGCUGAUGCGCGAAAGCGUGGGGAGCAAACAGGAUUAGAUACCCGGGUAGUC